GGGUCGUUAGCUCAGUUGGUAGAGCAGCUGACUUUUAAUCAGUUGGUCGCAGGUUCGAAUCCUGCACGACCCA
rnacentral:tRNA from 1 species